AAAAAAAAAAAAAAAACCUAGAAUGCACCGGGUAUAUGGUUGACGUGGCGCCUCCAAUCGAUAAAAUUAUCCUCCUUGGGUUGAUAUGUCCCAUCAUGAUUAAUAAAAAAAUAUUUUUGUUGUACUUUUCUGACAAAUAGAGAGAUAUGAUUAGCUUGUUACUGAUGAUAUGAUACAAGUGUGAUACAAUAUAUUUCUUUCUAAAUCUGACCUAGUAAUAACACUCUCCAAGAAAUUUAGUUCAUUUUUCCCUUUUU
rnacentral:lncRNA from 1 species